rnacentral:rRNA from 1 species
CCUACGGGUGGCAGCAGUGGGGAAUAUUGGACAAUGGGGGGAACCCUGAUCCAGCCAUGCCGCGUGUGUGAAGAAGGCCCUCGGGUUGUAAAGCACUUUCAGUGAGGAAGAACGCCUGGUGGUUAAUACCCAUCAGGAAAGACAUUACUCACAGAAGAAGCACCGGCUAACUCCGUGCCAGCAGCCGCGGUAAUACGGAGGGUGCGAGCGUUAAUCGGAAUUACUGGGCGUAAAGCGCGCGUAGGUGGCUUGAUAAGCCGGUUGUGAAAGCCCCGGGCUCAACCUGGGAACGGCAUCCGGAACUGUCAAGCUAGAGUGCAGGAGAGGAAGGUAGAAUUCCCGGUGUAGCGGUGAAAUGCGUAGAGAUCGGGAGGAAUACCAGUGGCGAAGGCGGCCUUCUGGACUGACACUGACACUGAGGUGCGAAAGCGUGGGUAGCAAACAGGAUUAGAUACCCCUGUAGUC